GACAGAGGGUGCAAACGUUGUUCGGAAUCACUGGGCGUAAAGCGCACGUAGGCGGAUCUUUAAGUCAGGGGUGAAAUCCCGAGGCUCAACCUCGGAACUGCCUUUGAUACUGGGGAUCUCGAGUCCGGGAGAGGUGAGUGGAACUGCGAGUGUAGAGGUGAAAUUCGUAGAUAUUCGCAAGAACACCAGUGGCGAAGGCGGCUCACUGGUCCGGUACUGACGCUGAGGUGCGAAAGCGUGGGGAGCAAACAGG
rnacentral:rRNA from 1 species